UACACCAAUGUAACAAUACAAGACGCUGUAUCAUCUCCAUAGCGACGACUUUUUGUACUUCCGUUCGAACUUCCGUCUUCCAGGCUUUUUGUAGCUAGCUAAAUCAUUGAUUGCGUCUAAUUCUGAUUGUGGAUAACGUUAGUGAUAG